rnacentral:rRNA from 1 species
GCCAGCAGCCAUCUCACCCUGCAACUCACAGCUGGCUCAGCAGGUAUGAGCCUGGUCAGUACCUGGAUGGGAGACCUCCUGGAAAAAACUAAGGUUGGUGCUGGAA